rnacentral:rRNA from 1 species
AUGGAUAUGUCCUGCUUCCCCAUUUUCAUCCUCCUGUUCUUGUUUCCUUUCAGCAAAUCUGAUGAUCAACUGACACAAGGGAAGCCACUCUCCCCCGGUGACAUCCUCAUCUCCAAGGACGGCGUCUUCGCUCUCGGCUUCUUCUCCCCCGCCAACUCCAACAAGAGCCUAUAUGUUGGAAUUUGGUUCUACAACAUCCCGGAGAGCAGCCGCGCCAUCGUAUGGGUCGCCAACCGCGACAACCCGGCCACCACCGCUUCACCCGCGGCACUCGCCAUCAGCGUCAAGUCCGACCUCGUGCUGUCGGAUUCCGGAGGCCACACACUUUGGAUGACAAAGAACAACGUCACGGCGGAUGAAGACGCGAGAGCCUCUGCGGUGCUGCUCGACACGGGGAACUUGGUCCUCCGGUCGCCGAACGGUACAGUCAUAUGGCAGAGCUUCGAUCACCCGACCGACACCAUCCUCCCGGGCAUGAGGUUUCUGCUGAGCUACAAGGGUCGUGUGAUGGGGCGCCUUGUCGCUUGGAAGGGCCCGGAUGACCCAUCCGUAGGAGACUUCUCGUUCGGUCUGGACCCAGACUUGGGCAUGCAGAUUGUCACUUGGCAUGGUGCCAAGCUGUACUGCCGCAUCAGUGUGUGGAACGGCGCAUCGGUGUCCGGCGGCACAUACCCAGGCAACAGCAGCUCCGUCGUGUACCAGACCAUCGUCAACACAGGGGACAGGUUCUAUCUAAUGUACUCAAUCUCCGACGAUUCACCGUACGCACGCAUCAUGCUCGACUACACCGGCACCAUGAGCCUCCUCACCUGGAACAGCUACUCCUCAUCAUGGAUAGCCACAUCCGAGCGCCCCUCCGGCGGUUAUGGCGUCUAUGGCUCUUGUGGCCCGUUUGGCUACUCUGACUUCACGGGGGCCACCCCCACAUGCCAGUGCUUGGAUGGGUUUGAGCCUGAUCCAAUGAAUUCCUCGAGAGUGUGCCGGAGAGUGGAAGCACUGAAAUGUGGCAGCAAAAAUCAUUUUCUGCGCUUGUCCGGAAUGAAGGUGCCCGACAGGUUCUUGCACAUCCGAAACAGAAGCUUUGACCAGUGUGCGGCGGAGUGCAGCCGCAACUGCUCAUGCACAGCGUAUGCUUACGCCAACCUCAGCAGUGCAGGCACUCUGGGGGAUCAGACAAGGUGCUUGGUUUGGACAGGGGAGCUUGUCGACACGUGGAAGACCAACAACUAUGGCGAGAACCUGUACAUCCGCCUUGGGGACUCUCCUGCUGCAGUUCACAAGAAUAGCAAUUUAGUGAAGAUUCUGCCCCCGGUUGUAGCAUGCCUGCUGCUACUCACGUGCAUAGCCCUUGUCUGGAAAUGGGUACGGCGAAAGAAGGAAAUUAAGAAGAAGCUGAUGCUACGAUACUUGAGUGCUUCUAGUGAGCUUGGAGGCAAAAAUUCAGAUUUUCCGUUUGUUAGUUUCGAAGAUAUUGUGGCCGCAACGGAUAAUUUCUCCGACUCCAAUAUGCUUGGAAUGGGAGGUUUCGGCAAAGUUUACAAGGGAAUACUGGAAGAUGACAAGGAAGUUGCUAUCAAAAGGCUUGGCAGUGGUUCUGGGCAAGGUAUAGAGGAAUUCAGAAAUGAAGUGACUCUAAUUGCCAAAUUGCAGCACAGAAACCUAGUUAGACUUCUUAGUUGCUGCAUUCAUGAUGAUGAGAAGUUAUUGAUCUAUGAAUACAUGCCUAACAAAAGCCUGGAUUCCUUCCUUUUUGAUAAUACAAGAAAAGAUGUCCUUGAUUGGCUGACACGGUUCAAAAUAAUUAAAGGGGUGGCAAGAGGCCUUCUUUAUCUCCACCAAGAUUCAAGAUUAACAAUAAUUCAUAGAGAUCUUAAAGCAAGCAACAUUUUGUUGGACAAUGAAAUGAAUCCUAAAAUAUCAGACUUUGGUAUGGCAAGGAUAUUUGGUGGAAACCAGCAGCAAGGAAACACUAUUAGAGUUGUUGGAACAUACGGUUACAUGUCUCCAGAAUAUGUGAUGGGUGGCGCCUUUUCUGUUAAGUCGGACAUCUACAGCUUUGGUGUUCUUCUCUUGGAGAUUGUAAGUGGCUUGAAGAUCAGCUCACCUCAGCUCAUAAUGAACUUCCCAAACCUUACAACUUAUGCGUGGAGAUUAUGGGAAGGUGGAAAUGCAAUGGAACUGGUGGACUCAACAAUUGCUGGUAGCUGUCCAAUUCAUGAAGUUCUACGGUGCAUUCACGUGGGACUCUUGUGUGUUCAACACCAUUCAGAUGCUAGGCCACUCAUGUCAUCAGUUGUGUUUAUGUUGGAGAAUGAAAUCGCUUUGCUUCCAGAGCCGGAGCAACCUGCAUAUUUUGCAGCAAGAAAGCAGGAAAAUGGACAUACCAGGGAAAACAUGGAUAAUUCACAAAAUACCAUGAGUAUCACAACACUAAUAGGGCGUUAG